UAAAAUUAGUAAGAAUUGCAGCGACAAAAAGAUAGGAUUUUAGCCUGGAUUUAAAAGUAGUAAGAGUUGCAGUGGACCUGCAGGAUUCAGGGAGUUUGUUC